GAAAUAAUGAAAUGGUUCAGUGGUGCUCAUGGUUGGCUGCCUCAGAGAUGCUUGUUCUGCUGAAAAUCUGGGCAAGGAAUGUUAAGGUCUUCUAGUACAGAAUCCUCAAGAACGCUGACCAUCUACCCAAAGGGUUGUGAACGAGAAGACAACUUUGUUGAAGAUGAAACCUGUAUUAAUGCUGCUUAUGAUCCUGGACAGGAACUAUCCACACCCCUGAAGAUGGGC
rnacentral:lncRNA from 1 species